UACCAGCACCCCGAGUGGUCGGGACGAUUAUUGGGCCUAAAGCAUCCGUAGCCGGCCUUACAAGUCCUCCGUUAAAUCCACCUGCUCAACGGAUGGGCUGCGGAGGAUACCGCAGAGCUAGGAGGCGGGAGAGGCAAACGGUACUCAGUGGGUAGGGGUAAAAUCCAUUGAUCUACUGAAGACCACCAGUGGCGAAGGCGGUUUGCCAGAACGCGCUCGACGGUGAGGGAUGAAAGCUGGGGGAGCAAACCGG
rnacentral:rRNA from 1 species